UCAGGCAACUGUAGAGCAAAAUUUAGUGUUUAGGUCUAGACAACCCAAAAUGUGAUGUCCACAUAUGUGGACACCAGAUCCUAGGAGGUUAAUUGUAUAAUGGAGAUAAAUGUUAAGCAAAUAAGUUAUGUCAUGUUUCGUGUAUUCUGUUCCCACACAGGAACCGUUCUACGUAUUCCUGCAUGGGUUCUCUCCAGCGCUUUUACAAGUCCCUGUGACAGACUGGUGACCUGCCCAGAGUGUUUUGCCCUGUGACAGCUCAGAUAAGCUCCAGCUCAAAUGCAACAGAAGAGAAUGGAUGGAUGAUGAAGGACUUUGAACAGCAUUUAUGGUUCUGUCUAAUUAAGAAAACUGGAUUAUCUGUGCACACACAGAUGAUUUACUUAUUAACUUGCAUGAAGAAACAGAUUU